rnacentral:tRNA from 1 species
GGUCUGGUGGUGUAGUUGGUUAUCACGUCAGUCUAACAUGACCAGCGACACGCUGGUUCCCUGCUUACACUGAAGGUCUCCGGUUCAAGUCCGGGCUAGAUCA